CGCAGCCGCGGUAAUUCCAGCUCCAAUAGCGUAUAUUAAAGUUGUUGCAGUUAAAAAGCUCGUAGUUGAAUUUCGGGGUUAGUAGGUUGGUCAUGCCAAUGGUAUGUACUGGUCUCACUGAUUCCUCCUUCCUGAUGGGCCGUAAUGCCAUUAAUUUGGUGUUGCGGGGAAUCUGGACUGUUACUUUGAAAAAAUUAGAGUGUUUAAAGCAAGCUAACGCUUGAAUACAUUAGCAUGGAAUAAUGGAAUAGGACGUUCGAUCCUAUUUUGUUGGUUUCUAGGAUUGACGUAAUGGUUAAUAGGGAUAGUUGGGGGCAUUAGUAUUCAAUUGUCAGAGGUGAAAUUCUUGGAUUUAUCGAAGACUAACUACUGCGAAAGCAUUUGCCAAGGAUGUUUUCAUUAAUCAAGAACGAAAGUUAGGGAUCGAAGACGAUCAGAUACCGUCGUAGUCUUAACCAUAAACUAUGCCGACUGGGGAUCGGAUGAUGUUAAUUUUUAUGUACUCAUUCGGCGCCUUACG
rnacentral:rRNA from 1 species